CAGAGCAAAGCAAAGCCGAGCCAGCGUGAGUGGCAGGAAGCAAGCACCUCCAGCUGCACGCUGCUGCACCGACCCUUGCUCCGAGCUGCCCAGGACGAUGGGCAGCUCCAGACCCAGCUCCACCACGUGCAGAGCCAUCGUGCAGCAUCUAGCCUCGGAGCGGCCGGUAAGAAGAGGACAGCACAACCUGCACCAUGACCUGAGAAAACAGGGGCACAAGAGACCCGGAGCAGCGUGCCCAAAGCCGGUCAGUGAGGCCCUGCACAGCCAGGAACAGGGCUCCGUCCCCGAGCCUCAGCCGAUGCUCUAUCUAAUUAGAGGCCACUAUGCCUUUAAUUAAAAGACACUGAGUUCUGGUUCGCACUGACCUAAUUCUCCUGUCUCCCUGACAGCUCGGUGCCUCUUGCUGAGCAGACGCUUGUGCCGAGAUGCACACACGAGGAGCAGCUGCAACGAGCAAUAGCGGCUUCAAUGGAAAAGCACACAGUUACUUAUCCUUCCAAAACCAGGCAAGGAGAGCCACUAAAAGAAGAGGCUUUUUUCUCCCCCUAAAGCUCUAGAAAAAGCUGGAAACGCAGCAAUGUGAGGGGGCUUCCCACCUGAGCAUUUCAGGUCAGGCUUUGUAGCGCUGCUGCACUGCAGCUUCUGGAGCGGGAACAGCCAGGCGAGCCCUCUGGAGCCAAUUUCUGACUCAUCAGCCCUCGUACGGCACAUGCCGGGCUCCAGCAGCACACGCAAAUCCUUGCUUUAUUUAGGAUGCCAUAGGAAAAGAACCUGCCUUCCCCGUGCUGCGUCUCUGCAUCCGCCUACACCGCGCGGCAGCAGCCCCUGCCUUGCACACUGCUGGCAGCUGCUCGCCAGGAGUUUCGUAUCCGGAGGGGAAAAGGCACAGAAAAUCCCCCGAUGUCUCAGCAGAAACCUGCCCCAAACCCACGAGCCCAUUUCGAUCCACCAUUCAUUUUGCAAGGUAGGAGGCAGGCAGCAGAGCUGCACAGAAGGUGGCACUGAAGACAGGAAGCUCGUGUCACCCGGUGCCCCGAGGAUAUCCACCCCACGCAGGAUAUCCACACACACAGCCCCAGGACCCUUUCUGGGGCAGCAGGUGACAAGGUGGGAAGGAGACGUGCUUUGCGAGGGAAUUUCUUUACCAAGGCAGAGAGGCCAUGUCCCAGCUCAGAGCUGCAAGCGACCCUGCUACAGCUCGGGGUGAGAGAGGAAAAGCAGAAACAUCUGCUAUCCCAAACAAGCCAGCCUGGCAGAAGCUCUGAGGACUUCACAUCAGUUUCAUGGGCAGGAGAACACAUUUUCAGUAUGUAAAUGUUUCUAAAAACAUUACUGGUUUCAAAAUAAGGAGAUUUCCUCCCACAACAGAUUUGUAACCAAGCUAUUUUGGUUACAGCUACAAGGGGGAGCACGCCAGGGUACAAUGCACAUGGGAACAUGCAGUGCAAUGCCACCCGUGUCCCCAGCCAGCGCAGUACAACAGAGGUGCUGCUGCGGCCCCAGGACACCCCAAAGUGUUACAGGGGAACAGGGACAGGUCUGUGACUUAAAGCUGCUCUGCUUUAUUGGAGCAGAGGAUGGAGCUCAGGCUCCUGCCUCCCAAUAUGCAUCCCAGCAUCCCACCUCUUUUCAUUUGAGGUGCUGGAAAACUGCUGCGUGCCUUCGCUGCCUAUCCAUAGCCUGGUUACACAGCUAGCCAGCCCCCGCUACCAGAAAUGAGACAUUUCACAGAUGGGAAGUGGAGACAGCAAUCAAGGCCUGAACUCUCAUAGGCAUUUAGAAAUUUUACUUCCUUCCAAGGCAGACACAUGAGCACCCUGAUUCGCUAUCUGAUGCAAGCGAGAACCCCGGAAAAAGGAGGAAGAGAUUGAGGCAUGGGAUGAAACUUUGCUCUCCAGGGCCCCACACGGUGCCUUAACUACAUGCAGCCAGCCCUUGCUCUCUGCUCUCUCCCACCUGUCACUGCUACAAGAGAUGUCUCCCCAGGAAAGGGCUGAAAGAUGCACAACCUAUGCGCUAGCCAUGCAGUUUCAACAAUCCCCAUUAGUUUGGCAUGCUUGAGGUUGGAAACUCAAGUCACAUCAGGCAGAAAAUAUCUUCAUGUUUUCCUUGGCAAUGGAAAACGAAUCCACUAAUACACGAAGCACGUUUCCUGUUUGGGAGCUGCUGGCUUUUGACACAUACAUCGCAUGUAUUUCAUUCCUGCCAGAUUUCCAAGAGAAAUAACGUAGAAGAAAUACCUGCCAGGAAAACGGGCGAGACAAAAGCACAGAAUAUCUCCCGUGACCCUUCUUCUCACUAACGACUGCAAACAUGAUGCUUUUAACAAGGGUGGCAAGUGCAUCCAGUCAAGGCAGCAAGAAGAGAUCCAUCGGCGCUUAGCUGGGUUUAGGCUCUGCUUCUUUUUGCUUCGCCUGUUCCAGAGUGGGAGAAAGAAGCCUUGCCCUUUUGGCCACCCUGGGCUACCUAUUGAAAAACUCAAACUCUCUGGGCCGGUCACAGUGUUGGACCAACAGUCCAGCAUUCUUCAGUCGUAAACAGGCCACGCACAGCCCAUGGGACGGGCUGCUCAAGGCUCCUUGUUGUCUCUCCGGUGUCUGUUUGCAGCCAGCAUGACACACUCCUAUUUUCCAUCCCAAGUUGAUGCAGGGAUAUUAAUAGCGCUGUGUAUUCCAGGGCAAACCAUGCCCAAACACCCCUUAUUGUGGCAGUAACCAAGGGAAAAAGGCAACAGCACCUAGAGCCAAGCUGUGCAGACACUGCAGAGGCAGGAGGCCAGCGCGGCAGUGGGAGCAGCCCUCGAGCACGAGGCACGGCUGCCCGACAGACCUCUGCUGUACUCUACGAGGGGCUAUCAGCACUGAACCGUGCCACAAAUCACUGUUUUCAAGUUGCUUCUUCAACACAGCUGCGAGGAACGAAGUGGUUUAUGCCUCCCUGAAGCCUCUGUCCUUGAGAGGAUUAUACCCAGCAAUGAAAAAUGACAACAUGGUCUCAUGUCACCUUCAAGAGAAAGCCUGGACUAAGGACGGGGUCCCCUGCACAUCCAUCCACCUGUGACGAGCAGCCAGGCUCUGGGAAGCUCCUGCCAACUCUUGCCUUCAAGACAUUCCUGCUCUCCCCCUCCUCAGGAAACAACACGGGGUCUGCAGCCAGACAGACUGGCAGCGCAACAGAGAAAUCACAGGGACCAAGAUCCGGCUCCUGGUGAAGCACAGGAGCGUGCUGAGCCUCAUCCCCAGCACGAGCAGGAGCCUUAAUCCACUGGCACAUCCACCUGAGAGCAGGAACAUCAGCAGUACAUGAGUGGAGGUGGUCUCAGAGAGAGCCUGAGGGACCACAGCGGCCACCAAGUUACCAGGGGAGCUUCCACCCCAACCAAGCAGCUGCUGGGACAACAGAGCCCAAACUUCCAGACAUACCAGGGGAAAAUACAGCACGGGGGCACUGUCACGCUGCCUCCUGCCAUUACUACUGGCUCUAACUUGUCUCCUUCCCCUGCAAGGUUUGCAGUGUUCCCCAACAUGUCCUUCUGCAGCUGAGCCAGCAUCAAAGGGCUCUGCUGCCAAACUCUCCACCCUGACCCGAGUUCGCUCACUGCCAAGGACAGCCAGGAAAAGUUUCCAGUCUUGCCCCUCACAUUCGACAUGUUCCGCACCUUUCCUCCCACAAUCCCGUUACUUUUUCCUCUGCCCAGUCCUCCAUCCCGUUCCCCUUUGUGCCUGUCUUCACACCUCAUUUUCUCCAGCCCUGUACAGCUCCCGCCUCUCUAGCUUUGUCCAGCUACGUCUCAGUUCUCCAGAUGCUCAAAUUCCUCCUUAAAAUGUCUUUUCCUUAUAGCGUUUCAGCAGCAACCCAACUCUCCUCUUCCUCCUCUACUGAAACAAGAACAAACUGCAUCAUUAUGACACCAGGCAUCAAUCCAUCCGGCACAGGGGCUGGUUUGAUCAGAAACUUCAACCACACAACAAGAAGCAACUAUGGCACGCUGCGAGUGCUUAUUAAAUAAAGCAAUCAGCACUGAUGAGAGCAGACAAUAGAUGCUGUUUUGUAACAGACACUCUAGAUACUAGAGCCUAGAGAAACGUAGUCACUUACUAUCCCAAGGGACACAUCCCAUACCAGGUCCACCAGACAACCAGUCUCUGGCUACAGGCAAGCCUCGGACAUGUUGUGAAGUGACUGAUGCCCACCCACGAACCCACCAGUUCCUGGGUGAAUUCUUCUUUCAUUUUUCUUCCCUUACACAGCUGCAGUGCUGUCCACCACCUGAAAAUACACUCUUCCCUGCCUCCUGAAGACUCCCACAGCCCUUCUGCCUGGCCAAGACAGCUGGAAGAGAUGAGCUCCCAUUUUCCUCCACUCGGGCAAGACACAAGACUCUCUGCAAACCCCUUCUGGCAGAAGAGGACGAAGGGGCAGACAUUAACCCCCUUCUACACCUUUUCAUCGACGUGGGACCCCACUCGCACAAUCGGAGCAGGCUGCCAAGGACCACAUCCAGGUGGCUUCUGAAGAUCUUCAAGGAGGGAGACUCCACAGUCUCAGGACCACCUCUGCCAGCACUCCAUCACCUGCACAGUAAAGUGUAGCAGGCAAUAUCAAAGGCCUCACUGGAAGGCACCUCAAAGAAGGUCAAAGAAAGUCAAAGAAGGUAGAGGAUCCUAAACACAUCGUGCCAUCUCAGUCAUACUGCUCUUCAGUGACCGUGAAUGAACUGUAGGGGCAGAGGAUAUAAACAGAAGGAGCCAAGAUGAAUUUUAUAGCUGCUGAUUUCCAUGUCAAGAAAACAACAACAAAAUACCCUGCCCACAUGUUUGUGCUAACAAACCUCCCAAACCGAGUUGCUUAGACCCAAAUAACUUCGCCUUCUGGACUGAAAUGAUCCACUCUUCUCCUUCGGUUAGGUAUUUAAACUCAAACCCACAAACCUCUAAGCUCCAUUAUUAAGUCACUUCACUGUGGACUUGUAAAACUCAGAACUCUCCCUAAUUACGUCUUAUCUUGAAGAACCUAAUUUACACUAGCUCCCAAUGAGUCAUCCCAGCGCUGCACCGGCUUCUUCCUGGCAUGAAAAAAAAAUCCCUAAUGAGGAGCAAUUCUGAGGCUGCUCACAAAACAACCCAGUCGGAUCAGUGCCUGGUCAUCAGCCUCUGCCCAGAUUUCUGUUCUGGCUCUGCGGAGGCCAGCGAAGGAAACAGCACCACGAGAACCAGGGGUCUGUGAACAACCCCCCCUUCCCAUUAAGUGCAACCAUUGCAUCCCCAGUGGCUAAGGGCAGGGCAAACUGGGGCACGGAACGAGCAUCAUCCAGGAAAUGACUCGCUGAGAGAAGGAGUCAGCACUCCCUCCUUCCUUCUUGCACUGUUACAGUCAAUAAUCCUCCUCCAGCUGUAAUGGCUUCCUGUUUGUCCUGCUGCUCGGACCUCCUGAGUCACUGCACAUCUCCGGGUCACCUCUGCCAGGUUUUCACCUGAGGAGGAGACCAGAAGGCCAGCAGCUGCCUGAAAUAAAUGGUCCCUGUGCGUUCCUGACCACUUGUUUUCUUGAAACAUUGAGAAGCAAGUUACAAGACGAAGAAAAAAAAAAAACACAAUGAAGCAAGAAUGGGCUAGAUAAGGUUAAAAUUCAGGGUUAAUACUCCAGAAGAAAAAAAAAUGAUAGAAGGAUGGAACAGGUUAUCACCAGAAUACAGCAAGGGCUUUGGAAACUCCACUUUGGUGCUGUGAUACAAUCCUACCCCUUCACCUCUGUUAAGAGGCAGUUCAUUGGUAACUGGAAUCAAAUUUGAGAUUUUCCCUAGCUAUGGGCAGGUAGGGUGGGAAAUUACGAUCAGAAGAAGCAAAGCACAAGUCACGUUCCUAUUCAGGAUCAUGGAGAAAUGCUCUGCCAACAGAGCAGCAGGGGCUUGUACUGCCAGAACCAAAUAUUAUCUGAAUGACACAGAAGAACAAGAACUCACUGCCUGAUCUUGUCAUUUCUGGGUCCAAAUCUUGGUCCGGAAGGCCCCCUC